rnacentral:rRNA from 1 species
CACCGCGGUUAUACGAGAGACUCGAGUUGAUAAACAUCGGCGUAAAGUGUGGUUAAUAUAAAAAAUAAAUAAAGACGAACACCUCCUGAAUUGUUAUACAUAUACAGGAAGUAGGAAGAACAACUACGAAAGUGUCUAUAGAAUAUUGAACCCACGAAAGCUAGGGCA